ensembl:lncRNA
GGAAGGGAGGAGGCGAGGAGGCGGAACCACGCAGCGACCUAAAAAUGGACGCUAACCACCGGAUCGGUUUUAUUUGCAAGUGUUCCGCUAAUCCAUCGCAGCGUUUUAAAUGUGCUCUCUAAUGAUAAGAGACGUGGUGUGCUGUAUCAACUCACCAGUCGUCACCGCUGAAGACAACGCCUCCCCUCCGCGCCCAAUUUGUACCGCCUCGGCGCAGAAUCGACCGCCUUGCUGCCAACGCGCAGACUCCCUACUGCCAGCGCGUAGCAUCCCUACCGCCAGGCGCACACACGACCUUCCUACCGCUAGGCGCACACCAGGCGCAGACAGGACCUCCCCACCUCCAGCGCGCAACCUCCCUACCGCUAGGCGCAGACCAGGCGCAGACAAGACCCCUCUGCAAGCCAGGGGAACACCAGGCGCACACAGGACCGACCUACCAGUAGGCGCACACCAGGCGCUGACAGGACCUAUCUACCGCUAGGCGCAGACACGACCUCCCCCGCUGCCGCUAGCGCACAACCAGGCAACACUCGCAACAUGGACGGUAUGCCGCACGCCCGCACGACCCCGACAUGAUACCCGGACAUCUCGACUGGAACCACGAGCACACAGAACCAGAACCCCCCCUCCCGGCGGUUUAUGUUGGUGUAUUUACCAUUGAUGGCCAUUUACCAGCGACACUUUCCGCGAGUAUGCAUACAAAUAUAAUGCAAAAUGCGCAUAGUUGUCUUACACUGCACAUCAUCUUACGGGUCUGGACAUCAUGACACUAGUCUGUUCCUGGUCUGGACACCAUGUCAUUGGUCUAUAACUGGUCUGGACACCCUGUCACUUUUCUGUCACUGGUCUGGAUUAUAGUUUCGGACAGAACCUCCAGGUGACGCUUUGUUGUGAUGCUGUGACUACGUGAACCCAGAAUAGACUUCCUCUUCCUCUGAACGGCUGGUUUGGUUUCCAGCGUGGCAGGUGAGUCGUGGACCACGUGACUGUUGGACCUCAUAUUAGGAGGUUGGAGUAGUAUCCGUUAUGUUUAGUUCCUUUAUUGUUUUAUUGUGUGUAAUGUACGCCAAACACUGAUACAGUUCGGUGUGCACUAAACGUGUCGUCUGUUAACAUCUGAAUCUCCCCUUGGUGAUGACAUCAAGUCGGAGGUAAACAAAGCUGGUGUUUCUGGUCUUGAAGGACGAUAUUGCCCGAGCGGUCGUGAUUAUGAAGAGCAGUGUCUCAGAUGUUGGGUGUGUUGAAGUCUCACUCCCUCUGACCUUUGACUCUGUGGUGUUUCAGACUUCAUUGAAAGAAUGGCGCUAAAGCGUUCUGACAGCUUAAGUCUUCUCAGGUUGGCGCAGGAACAACGACAACAACAUCAGUUGUGUCUGGCAUGAAUGGUAACAAGUCAACACUCGUCUAUAACUAGUCCAUACUCUGAGUCUGAAGCUAGGUAUCUCUCUAGAGUGUUGACUAGUAUUGAUUAGCUAGCUAAUCAUUAUUGAUUAGCUAGCUAAUCAAUACUAGUCAAUACUCCAGCGCUAGAGUAUUGGCUGUCUAGCUAGCUAGCUGUAGCAGUGAGCUCCCCCAUUCUGGCCUUGAUUCGGCUCCGUUCUCCACCCUGGGCGCUAUGCUAGUUAUUCCCAGGACACGAUUCCUCCAUGAAUUAUGGAGCUGUGGGCAGAAUGAGGCUCUAUGGCUCUCAGGAGGCCUCUUAGUGACUCCAUGAGAGUCUUCUUCACACGUCCAGGCCCGAUGUUAAACAGCUCCCCCCUGACCACAUGUCUGGACACGCAUGGUUAACCAUUCACAUGGUUAUGUUAGGGCCCCCACUUCAUCUUGGCCGCAAACAUGCCAAAACGUUUGAAUUCCCAGUGAGUCCAUGUGCUGUGUCUCGUUUCUCUCUGCCGUAGUUCUCUUGAGCCGCACGUUUAACUAUUGAGCCGCCAAUUUUCUCUACCCCUUCUCCAUACUUUUGUCACCCUUGACGACUUUGUGAAACGUAAGAAAUACCUGGAGCUCUGGAGUGGGGCGAGCCUCCUGCAUAAAAACUACAUCUCCCAGGACCUCCACGACCUCCCCUCCGGACCUGCUUUGCGUUUGUGUUUGAAGGUUGCUGCUGCUGUAUCAAUAAACAGGCCUCACCUUCUCAUCUCAACAAACGCGUCAUUCAGAGUGAUCGCCUGUCAAUCGAUCUUCCUAUCACAUAUCCACGCUACGCUAUCAUCCAAUAAUACCACAACGUUGUUUCCAGAGUCGGUUCUUUAAACCGGUGAUGUUGUUUAAAUCGUAGAUGGUAAAUGGACUGCAUUUAUACCGUGCCUUUUCAACCAGUGGCAACUAAAAGCGCUUUACAAUAUUGCUCAACAUUCACCCAUUCAUACAAACAUUCACACACAAGGCGGAGUCAACACUCGCAACCUUCCGGUUAGCAGCCAACCCGCUCUACCUCCUGAGCUACAAGCCGCCCUUUUAAACCUUACGCCUCCAGUGCUGUGGUGGGUAACAGCUCUGCUGUUAGCAGAGGGCGGAUCUUUGGACCUGGAUGUUGCUGAUCACAGCUAGAUGGAGACGCUAUGAGUGACAGCUGAGUGGUGCUGAUGGGCGGACCCCAGAUGUUGAGGAGGGUGGAAGCAGGCCAGUGUAGAUGACCACAGAGAUGGUUCUCAGGUCCUGCUGAACACUCUGGCGCCCGGGGGGGGGCCAGGGGCCUAGCACAGCCCCUCACACGCUCACGCUUCCUUACUCUGUCUGCCUCACUGCUACUCAUUCUGCUUUACUCUACCUCACUCUGUCACACUCUGUCUCUCACUGCCCCACUCUCUCACUCUGUCAAUUCAAUUUGGAUGCCUCACUCUCUCAUUCUUCCUUGCUCUCUAUCGUACUCUCUGUCGGUCUCACUGCUACUCAUUGUCCUUUACUUUACCUCAUCUGUUUCUUCAGAUAAAACUAGAGAGAGCGAGAGCGAGAGACGGGCCAUAACCUGCCAUAACCUCGCUGGAAUAAAGUCGCUACCCGCUUCCUGUUUGGUGACGGACAGAUUCCACCGGACUGAACCACAUCUAUGAGGCAGACCUCGGGAAGGGUUUAAUAAGAGUUUCCCUCCAGCUGCCAGUCUGCACGCUGUCGCUUUGAAUCCUCUCAGACCCUUUAUUCACAAGUGCCACUGCCCGCCCAGUUUGUGUUCACUGUUGGCAGCCAAUUCCGCAUGAUUACAGUCUCCUGCUUCCAGCGACAGAAUUGGUCGACACAAAUAUGCAAAAAGAGGCAAACAUAGAAAAACACCCUGUUCACACACAUUUGAGCUUCUCUAGCAGCAGACUUUAGAUUGGUACCCCUAAUAGUCUGAAUGGUAAGACUACUGAGAGAGCAACGCAAGAGUCUUACUGGGAGCAUGGGUUCCCACUUUCCAGUAGUGGUCUGGGAAACCGGUCACAGAAGUGGUGUAGAACCCCAGUCGUGUUCUGGUGUCCCAGUAGUGGUGUCGGACACCGCACCCCUACUGUCUUCUCUACAGGAUGUCCCGCCUCUUGUCUCGGUCAUGCUGUACAUGGGAGGAGUUAGUUUGUUACCAUGGCGAAACCCCGUCCUGCACGUUGUCUAGCGCGACAUUCGGAAUGUCCCCGUCCUUUAGGUCUCCUGUAGAAACCAAAUGCCCUGGUAACGGUCGCCAGGGUAACCGUAACCGUCCUGCAACAACCUAGCAACUUUAUCCCACCUUGUGUCAUAGUGAUGGUCACCACAGUGAUGGUCACCACAGUGACCGUCACCAUAGUGACGGUCACCAUAGGCGACCAUCACCAUAGGGACCGUCACCAUAGGGACCGUCACCAUAGUGACCGUCACCAUAGGGGCCAUCACCCUAGGGACCGUCACCAUAGUGACCUUCACUGUCCCCAUAGUGACGGUCACCAUAGGGACGGUCACCAUAGGGACCGUCACCAUUCUGCAGAGCUCCUAGAAAACACGCGCCACGGCCCAGGUCUCUGGGAAACUCUUGUAAAAGGGGUAUCUCCUCAAGACCAUAUGCAACAUUCCUGCUGGUGUUGUUUCUGUCGUUCGCCCCCAUCUCUUCCUCAUUCUCUACUCUCUCUAUCUGUCUCUGACACUCUGUCUCUCUCUCAUCUUAUCUGUCUCUCUCUCAUCUUAUCUGUCUCUCGCUCUCGCUCUCGCUCUCUCUCGCUCUCCUCGCUCCCAUUGUUUAGUGGAUCUCUCUUGACAGCAUCAAAUAAAAAUUGCAUAAAAUGAUGUUAUGCAUGAAGCCUUGUUUACGCCUCUGAGUCUUGGGGUGGACUCUCUGCAUAACCAAUAAUUACUCUCCUAAUCUAUUAUUACUCUUAAUGCUCUUGCUUCUUGUCUUUUUGUUCUUUAUCUCACUGUCUCUGGGCCCCUGUUGUAGUGCGUCUCAGCUUACUUUGUUACUAUAGUAACACAGUACUACUAAUAUAGUAUAUAGUACUGUUUUAUUAUAGUAGUAUUGUGAACUAUAGUAUUGUGGUACUAGAUGUCCUUUCACACAUGCAGCCCUGCCAGUAAUACAACGAAGAAGCGGUUAUUUUUAUUAAAUUCUGGCAAAUGCGUUCCACCAAUUUACCUGCAUUAGACGUAAUAUUACAGGUUCUGGCAAGACCAUGUGUAAGUGCACUGCCAUAACAAUAACGUCACGAGAGUGCACAAUGUAGGACAUGUUGACUUAUUACACUGGGUUGUCAGCCACAGAACCACAAUCAAAAAGGUCUUAAGGAAAUGUUAUCUGCGCCGUUCUGUAAAGGUAACAUGCAAUUGCCAGGAAAUGACACCAAACAACUAUAAUUCCUUUGCCAGUGCAAUGAGCUCUAUCUUCCAGCCCUGCUUUAAUGUAGGAUGAUGGUUUUUGGCUUGCACUGAAAAGCAUGGGUUUUAAAAAUGGACUUCCUUUCCCUUCGGUCUUCCAUCACCAUAACUCUCGCUCCCUUUCUGCCUUGCUCUGUCUUCCUCUCUCUCUCUCUCUCCUCUCUUCCUCUGCUCUUUGCUGAUGUUGCAGUCCUUGCCUUGACCCGUGUGUGUGUGCACACACACACACACACACACACACACACACACACACACACACACACACACACACACACACACACACACACACACACACACACACACACACCAAUACGUAGUGUGGUUUCCGUUUCAAUCUCUCUGCUACAGUCUGUAGGUCAGUGUGUGUGUCGGUCAGUUUGGUGUGUGUGUCUGUCAGGUUGGUGUGUGUGUCUGUCAGGUUGGUGUGUGUCUGUCCCUACCAGUGUGUGUCCCUGCCCGGCCGGCCUCCCCCACCGGGCAUGCGUGUGGCCGAAUGGCAGCUCUGUAAAUGGGGUAGUAAUACCAGGGCCUGACCUCAUCUGAUGAACAAUAUCUGCAAUGCAUAGAUUGCAGAUUGUGUUCUCUGGCUCGUGUACGCUGGGGCGAAGGUUUGAUUCGGUAAACUGUGGUGUGUUUACAACAAUCAAUAUUGUUUGCUGUGUUUGUGCAGGUUGCCUUUGGCCUUUGAUAAGUAAAAACAGCAAAGGGUGGCCCUUAAACCUUGCCAGUGAGCUGAGCCUCCCUGUAUUUGGAGGAGGUUUUAAAAUAGACUGGAUGUCCUCACUGUUCAUCCCCGUCACCGUCUAACCCUCCCGGGCCUCUGUAGCAACCAUGCUAACCCUUAGCAACCAGAACCCCCCCACCCCUGUCUCCAGAACACCGGGUCGGUAAGAGUGACCCCCGCCCGGGUCUGGACGGGCACAAACCACACGUAUGACCGGGGGUCACAUGACAAACACACUCGACACGGACAGGAGCGCACGUUGCACAGCCUUGAUGUGCCAAACUGAUCUUACAUCCACGUUGACAUUCAGGGCGUUUAGAAGACGCUUUUAUCCAAAGCCACUUACAAUAAGUCCAUUUGGCCAUAGAGAGAGAAAUAAUAUAUCGCUGUGGGUCCAGUAAGGAUGCUCAUAGAAGCGAGAGCCGUAACACUGGCACCAACCCUGUGGGAUACGGGUUAGUUGGAUACUAACCCGUAUCCAACAGAGACAGCUAGGAUAAGAUGCUACACGAUGCUGCUGGUACUGUCAGUGUUUCCCCCAAAAAAUGUCUUAGUCAGAUAUCAUACGUCCAUAUAACUGAUGGAAGUAUUUUUUCUUUCCCUACGAGAGUUUUCUACUUUGUUGAUGCAUAAUAAUUGUAAAAAAAUUAUUACAAAAAUAAUAUGUAUAUAUAUUUUUUUUUCUAAUAUAUCUAUAUAUUUCCUAUACAUUGGUGGUCAAGGCGGGGCCCUGUUGUUGUUAAGGCGGCCGCCUUAACCAUGCAGUGCUGGGUGAAGCGCUGACGUGCCAGAUCUUGAGCAGUGCACGUGAAACCAUUUGAGCUCAGGAAGCGAUCUCUCACCGAGAACCUAAACGUCGCCGUCUCUUCCCUAAACCUGGGCUCAUGUGAGCGUCGUUUAUCAGCGACAGACAGUCGGCCCCUCCUCCCCACCGGGGACAGGUGAAGCGGAUGUCUGUGGGUCCGCGUCCUACGGAGCUGCCCACUGAACACAUUGACUCCACGUUGAAUGAAGGAUGUCUGUGGGACCGCGUCCUACGGAGCUGCCCACUGAACACAUUGACUCCACGUUGAAUGAAGGAUGUUGAAUUCUGCAGAGCGACAAACGGUUGUAUGCAGAAACGUAGACGCAGUCAACGUUCCAGUUAAUACCGUAAGUGCUGUAUGCAGUGUUUGUGCAGGUGAUCGG